UGUGUCUCCAUCUUCUGU
rnacentral:sRNA from 1 species